CCUACGGGAGGCAGCAGUGAGGAAUAUUGGUCAAUGGGCGGGAGCCUGAACCAGCCAAGCCGCGUGAAGGAAGAAGGCGCCAGGCGUCGUAAACUUCUUUUGUCGGGGAACAAAGGGCGCCACGUGUGGCGUUGUGAGUUUACCCGAAGAAAAAGCAUCGGCUAACUCCGUGCCAGCAGCCGCGGUAAUCCGGGGGAUGGGAGGGUUAUCCGGAUUUAUGGGGUUAAAGGGGUGCGUAGGCGGGCCGGAAAGUCAGCGGGAAAAGCCCGGGGCUAAACCCCGGCGAGCCGUUGAAACUGGCGGACUAGAGACGGCGAGAAGUACGCGGAAUGCGCGGUGUAGCGGUGAAAUGCAUAGAUAUCGCGCAGAACUCCGAUGGCGAAGGCAGCGUACCGGCGCCGGACUGACGCUGAGGCACGAAAGCGUGGGUAUCGAACAGGAUUAGAUACCCUGGUAGUC
rnacentral:rRNA from 1 species